CUAGUGUAUCUGUCAAAACUUCAGCAGCUUAUCUAAUCUUACGCAGCGCUGAGAGAGUAAGAUAGACACACGUUUAUUUCAUCACACGAGGAAUGAAACAGUUAUGGUGGUUCUUCAGACUGGAAUGUUGCAUCUGGGUCCUUCAAUCAUCAUCAUCUUUCUUCUGAACUGUGGAGUCCUGUUAUUAACCAAACUGUGACAAACUACACGUCAAGCAGAAUGUAUGUUGAUCCCAACAACCCACGCAAACUACAGAUAUCUGAUGUACAGCCUUCAGACACAGGAACCUAUACAUGUUUUCCCUUACCUGUACAGUGGAUACUGACCAUAGAAGAGAGUGAACCAGAGCUGCACAGAGAAAUGUUUCUCUACGUCGUCCCCUCAGUAACAGGAGCUGCUGCAGUGUGCUUUAUUAUCAUCUGCGCUGCGUGGAUUCACAGAAAACAAAAAACAAGAAACAAGGAAAUUGGGCAUGAGCUUCAAACACAGGGAAGAAGACCAGACCGCGGUCACAACAGCCAGUAUUUUGAGAGGUUUAACUCUAUAUAUGGAGACAGAACACUGAACUGAAGAUUUCAUUGGAAUCUUAUUGGAGUCUGGAAUCUUACUGCAAGUGGGAUGAAUCCAAUCAACCUUGCAAGAGCAAGAGGACAUCGCUCAGCCUGGUCUGGAGUGGAGAUUAAUCUACAAGACUUCAGCUGCCUAUUUAAGAUUUUUGAUCAUGAUUCAGAGCAGGUGACAUGUUGGAGUUCAGGAGACGGCAACAGAAAUCACUCCUUUUGAAGUCACAAUCAAGAUGAGUUUGAAUGAAAUAAAAAAUAUUAAGACUGAAUAAUUGGUUAGAUUAUACUACUGAUCAUCAUCACUGAUUAUAUUAUUGAUUUUCAUUACUGACUAUCGUAGAUCAUUGUGGUCAAAGUCAGGAUUGUCUACAAUCUGAAAAAGCAUGAUUCAGUAUUCAGACUUUUCUUGUUAAUAUUUCAGAACAACUGGCAGAAUCAGCUGUUUUUUGGUUGAACUUAUUCUUUGAAGGAAAGAGAGAAAAA